rnacentral:rRNA from 1 species
UUGCUCUUCAACGAGGAAUUCCUAGUAAGCGUGAGUCAUCAGCUCGCGUUGAUUACGUCCCUGCCCUUUGUACACACCGCCCGUCGCUACUACCGAUUGAAUGGUUUAGUGAGGUCUCCGGAUUGACUUCGGGGAGCCGGCAACGGCACCCUGUUGUUGAGAAGCUGAUCAAACUUGGUCAUUUAGAGGAAGUAAAAGUCGUAACAAGGUUUCCGUAGGUGAACCUGCGGAAGGAUCAUUAAAGAUUCGGGCUUCGGCCUACCCUCUUCAGCUGUGCGCUUCGGCUGCACGCUGUCGAAACUCUCACACCUGUGCACCUUUUCGGUUGCGGCGUUCGCGUCGCUUCCGCUUUUACGUUUUACAACAGUCCAGAAUGUAACAAACCAUAAACGAAACAACUUUCAACAACGGAUCUCUUGGCUCUCGCAUCGAUGAAGAACGCAGCGAAAUGCGAUAAGUAAUGUGAAUUGCAGAAUUCAGUGAAUCAUCGAAUCUUUGAACGCACCUUGCGCUCCGUGGUAUUCCGCGGAGCAUGCCUGUUUGAGUGUCACGUCAACCCUCACCCUUGCGAUGUUACAGUUGCCUGUGGUGGACUUGGACCGUGCCGUAAUCGGCUCGUCCUGAAAUGCAUUAGCUUGCGCUUUUAGAGUGCUAGGCACCGGUGUGAUAAUUAUCUGCGCCAACGCCUUAAGCCUCUUUAGUGGUGCUGCUUAUAGUCGUCCUGACGGACAAUUUUUAAAGCUUUGGCCUCAAAUCAGGUAGGACUACCCGCUGAACUUAAGCAUAUCAAUAAGCGGAGGA